GACGAACGCUGGCGGCGUGCUUAACACAUGCAAGUCGAGCGGUAAGGCCCUUUGGGGGGUACACGAGCGGCGAACGGGUGAGUAACACGUGGGUGACCUGCCCUCAGCUCUGGGAUAAGCCUGGGAAACCGGGUCUAAUACCGGAUAUGACUCCAUGACGCAUGUUGUGGGGUGGAAAGCCUUGUGCGGCUGAGGAUGGGCCCGCGGCCUAUCAGCUUGUUGGUGGGGUGANGGCCUACCAAGGCGACGACGGGUAGCCGGCCUGAGAGGGCGACCGGCCACACUGGGACUGAGACACGGCCCAGACUCCUACGGGAGGCAGCAGUGGGGAAUCUUGCGCAAUGGGCGAAAGCCUGACGCAGCGACGCCGCGUGAGGGAUGACGGCC
rnacentral:rRNA from 1 species